rnacentral:tRNA from 1 species
GCCUUCGUUGUGUAAUGGUCAGCACACUGAGCCGGUAUUUCAGAGGUCCGAGGUUCGAUUCCCGGCGAAGGAA